UACAGAGGGGGCAAGCGUUGUUCGGAAUUACUGGGCGUAAAGGGCGCGUAGGCGGCCUGCUAAGUCGAACGUGAAAUCCCUGGGCUCAACCCAGGAACUGCGUCCGAUACUGGUUGGCUUGAAUCCGGGAGAGGGAUGUGGAAUUCCAGGUGUAGCGGUGAAAUGCGUAGAUAUCUGGAGGAACACCGGUGGCGAAGGCGGCAUCCUGGACCAAUUCUGACACUGAGGAGCGAAAGCCAGGGGAGCAAACGGG
rnacentral:rRNA from 1 species